rnacentral:rRNA from 1 species
GACGAACGCUGGCGGCGUGCUUAACACAUGCAAGUCGAACGGAAAGGCCCUGCUUUUGUGGGGUGCUCGAUUGGCGAACGUGUGAGUAACACGUGAGUAACCUGCCCUUUACUUUGUUAUAACUUCAGGAAACUGGUGCUAAUACCUGAUAUGAUCUCCUGCUGCAUGGUGGUGUUUGGAAAGUUUCGGCUGUUGGGGAUGGACUCGCGGCUUAUCAGCUUGUUGGUGUGGUAGUGGCUUACCAAGGCUUUGACGGGUAGACGGCAUGAGAGGGUGAACGGCGACAAUGGGACUGAGAGAAGGACCAGAAGGCAACGGGAGGCAGGAGGGGGGAAUAGUGCAAAAUGGGAGGAAGCAUGAUGAAGAAAAGCAGCGUGCGGGAUGAAGGGAUUGGGGUUGAAAAAAGAAUUAGAAUGUGAAGAAGAGGGAGUGACGGUAAUGGGUAAAGAAGCACCGGCUAACUACGUG